AUGGCCGCGCGCAAGCGACCUGCUGCUGCCGUCCUCGGCGCCGGCCACGCCACCACCACCCAAGGAUCGCCGACGCGCUGCAAGAGGAGCCGCGUCAACAACAUCCGGAGCAGCGCGGACUACGAGGAGAAAACAUGCCUCGGCGAGGGCGGCUUCGGCAGCGUCCUGCUGGCGCGCCACCGCGCCACCGGCAAGAUCGUCGCCAUCAAGUACCUCAACUGGGAGGACGGGUCCGCGGAGCCCCCCGACGCCACCGAGCUUCUGCGAGAGGCCGGAUUCCUCGAGGCCUGCGACGGGAACCCUUACGUCGUCGGCUUCGAGGGCCUGGUGCGCGACCCUGAUAACGUCGCCUACGGCCUCGUCAUGGAGUACGUCGCCGCGCCGACCCUCCAUGAGUUCCUGUGGAACAGGCGCCGCGGCGGCGGCCCGCCGCUGCCGGAGUCCACGGUGCGCGCCAUCAUGUGGAAGUUCUUCACCGGUGCCAAGAAGAUGCACGACCGCCACGUCGUCCACCGCGACAUCAAGCCGGCCAACAUCCUCAUCGGCCAAGAAGGGGAGCUCGUCAAAAUCUGCGACUUUGGGCUGGCGAUCUCCUUGUCCGAGCUGCCGCCGUACACCCAGGCCGGCACGGCGUUCUACUUGGCACCCGAGAUGCUGCUGGGGAAGGAAGACUACGACGCGCUCGUCGACACGUGGUCUCUCGGCUGCGUCAUGGCCGAGAUGCUCACCGGCAAGACUCUGUUCCUCGGCGAUGAUGAUGAUGACGACGAUGACGACGACACAAACAAUGAGAUCAUCCAACUCUGGAGCAUCUUCCGCUUGCUCGGGACGCCGGACGACAGGACGUGGCCGGAGUUCACAUCGUUGCCGCACACCGCCAAGGCCCUACGACUCCUACCGCCGGGGCACAAGGAGAACAAGCUGCGGGACCUGUUCCCUCAAGAGAAGCUGUCCGACGAAGGAUUCCAGGUGUUGCAAGGCCUCCUCACCUGCAACCCCGACAAGCGACUGACGGCGGCCGCGGCCCUCAAACACCGAUGGUUUGCUGCUCCUCGUCGCGCACCCGCCGCGGCAAAGGUCGACGCUUUGUCGUUUCCGGUAAAGAAGGCACCAAGGAUCAAGUUCAUCCCGCCGGCCAUGCAACAGAAGAAUCUACUCAAAAUUCCCGUCGCUGUGUGGAACGCAGCACAACAAGUGUAA
rnacentral:rRNA from 1 species